rnacentral:lncRNA from 1 species
UCAAUAAAGGAUAGUUAUUUUCAUUGCUUAUAAAUAGGGUGAGCAAACUGUUGAAAUAACUAGCCUGGGCACAUAACAGUUAAGGUUUAGAAAAACACAUGUCUAGUUUGGCAGCAAAAGCACAAAGGUUCAUAUGAUGGUCCUGAAUGCUGUCUGGAAGAUACCACUUUAAAUUCAAACUCCACCCAGGAAGGGAAAAAGACAGCAUCAUGUAAUUCUAAAACACGUGAUGCCCCCAACCCUCAUGUCCUUUCUCCUUACCCCUCUCAUAAGGAAAAGACAGUGACUCUGCUGUCUUUCUCUAGGACAGGCCCUGGUCGCCUCUGCCAUGAGUGCACAGCGGUGCCAUCAGAGCCCGGAGCCAAGUAACCAGGUCAGCCAGAAAGAAAGGUGCUGCGUACAUUUGUGUCUGUGAAAUAACGAUUUUUCUAAUUUACUUUCUGUCUUGAGCCCUAUCCUUUUGGAGUCCUCCCCACCCCCACCAGAAGCUUCCAGGGGCCUCUGGCCUCCAGGUAUCUGCCCACAUGGGUUCUGGCUGAGCCGUCCAUCAUUCUGCAUGCUGUACCCUGCAGGCAGUGGCUCUGCCAUGCCCAACCAGGGACGCGGUCAUCUCUUUGCAAGGCUGCCUGGAACGGGGGAUCCGUGAUCCAAAUGCCUACAGGGACCGGGCUGGGAGAGCUCGCGAGUAAAGCGUGCAGUCUGCCUAUCAGACAUGUAAGAACAUCUUCACUUCCAUGGAGAAGUGCACCGGCUCCUCUGUUUCUUUCCUGA